UGUUCAUUUAAUGAAAUAAAUAUCUUUAAGAACUGGAGGUGACCAGUAGAAGUGCUGGUCAUAACUUCCUGGAUAAAUAUGGAAACAGAAACAGGUUUGAAUAAUUUAAGUUCCUUCAUGCAGAUCUUUGUGUUGCAGUUGAUGUUGUUUAAGGAAGUUUUUAAUUGGGGGAUUUUAUGUUUUCUGUUGUCAUGUAAUCUGUUUGUGUUGUAAAAUGUCAGUAAAGACUGAAUUUACUGACAUCAUCAUCAUCUUCAUCUUCAUCAUCAUCAUCUUCAUCGUGUUUUGUAGAAAAAUAUGAAACAAUAACUGAAAUCAAAACGAUUUCUGAAGUAACAGAAGAAACUCAGACGGCUGAAAUGAAAUUUGUUGCUCACUUAUCACAAAUCACAGUUUGGUUUUGAUUUGUUCAGGGAAAUAUUUAGUAAAAUAAAACUGAUAAAACGUCCAGUCAGCAGCAGGUAGUUGUUCUCCAGCUGAUUCAAUUUACCAAAACAUUUCAUAAAACCUCAGUAGAUCUGAGGGGAAAACAUUUAGAAACAGAUUUUAUUUUGUACGUCAGUCAUUUCUGAGAGCUUUCAGGAUUUGGGUCGUUGUUCUGUUGGAUCCAUAAACGAUGUCUGGGAUCUGCAGCAGGUUUGUCUGGCGCUUUCUGUUCCCGUUUUCCUUCAACGCAUCAAACGAACCAGCAAUAAACUCAAACCUCCUCCAGGUUUCACUGAGGGAACGAUUUACUGAAGAGUCACGUUUUCCAGGUCCAGUUUCCUGUUUCAGGUCCAGGAAUAUUCUCCAAGGAUUCAACCAGCAGUGAAGGUUUAACGUCUAAAGAUAAAAUAUUCUGUUUUUUAAUUUUGUAGUAUAAAAACCAUUCCAGGUAAAUCUUACCUGAGUAAAAAAUGCAGCUUUCAAAUAACAAAAUCAAUCCAGAGAGCCAGUCAGGCCUGUGAUGUGGUGAAGUUUGAUUGUAUAUCGUUCCACAGAGAUAUUGGUAAAACAGAAAAGAUGUUCCUGCUCUCAGAAAAGCUGCUGCUUGUUUUUCCAGGCAGAAACGAUGAUUCAGCAGAUCCAGGAGAUUUCUGGGACUUCAAGUUGUUCAUGUGCUGCCGACGUCCCACAGGGAGCUGGAGGCAGCAAACAGGGCGGAGGAGGUGGAGCUGAUGAAGAGGAGGUGGAGCUGAUGAAGAGGAGGUGGAGCUGAUGAAGAGGAGGUGCAGCUGAUGAAGAGGAGGUGGAGCUGAUGAAGAGGAGGUGCAGAGGAAGGUGUGGAGGAGACCAGGAAGAUCCGACUGAAGAUGAGGCGUCAGGACCAGCUGUACCGACUGGCAGGGGUCAGAGAGAAUCCAGCUUUAAUCCAGAGAGUAAGUGACGUCACUUCAGCCACACAUUUCACUCAUGAAAGAUUCUGGGAGGAACCCCAGAACGCAGGUACCGCCCCAGAACGCAGGUACCGCCCCAGAACGCAGGUACCGCCCCCAGAACCUUCUGCGCCGGCGCCGCUGAGGAUUGACCCGGAGAUCGCAGCGAUGUCAUUGGUUCAGAGUCACGGCGAACAGUCUGUGGAUGUCAGGAGGAUUUUUUGGAGAAUCACUUUCUUCAGGUUCUUCUGAACUCGUUUCAUUUCUGUCAGUGACUCGGAACGUUCUGCAGGUUUUAUAUCUGAUGGUCUCUGCAUCUUGUUCACCCUAAGAACGGUCAGUACUGACCUGCUUGGAGGUCAUCAGCUUUUCCUUCAUGGAGAAUUAAAAUCCCCAGAUGAACAAACCCGAUGCAGCAGACAGGAACAAGCUGUUCCUGUGACGACAGGAGGAGAGGAUGUUCCUGGCAGCUAGGGGUCAGGGGUCAGAGGUCAGACGUGUCCUUUAAACCAGACUGACGGGAGUUCAGUGAUCAGCUGCUGCCAGUUUGAGCUGCAGCUGAUCACUGUCACCAC